GACGAACGCUGGCGGCGUGCUUAACACAUGCAAGUCGAACGGAAAGGCCCUGCUUGCCGGGUGCUCGAGUGGCGAACGGGUGAGUAACACGUGGGUGAUCUGCCCCUUACUUUGGGAUAAGCCUGGGAAACUGGGUCUAAUACUGGAUAGGACCAUGCUGUAGGUGGUGUGGUGGAAAGAUUAGUUUCGGUAAGGGAUGAGCUCGCGGCCUAUCAGCUUGUUGGUGGGGUAAUGGCCUACCAAGGCGUCGACGGGUAGCCGGCCUGAGAGGGUGGACGGCCACAUUGGGACUGGGAUACGGCCCAGACUCCUACGGGAGGCAGCAGUGGGGAAUAUUGCACAAUGGGCGCAAGCCUGAUGCAGCGACGCCGCGUGGGGGAUGACGGCCUUCGGGUUGUAAACUCCUUUCAGCCAUGACGAAGCCCUUGUGGUGACGGUAGUGGUAGAAGAAGCACCGGCUAACUACGUG
rnacentral:rRNA from 1 species